UUAAGAUGAAGCAGAACGCAAGUUCUGUUUCCUUUUUUAAAUUUAAAUUUAAAAAGUGUUGUUGAACCUUUUUUGAAAUUUUUAUUAUUUAUUACGAUCUUUUUUAUGUCAAACAUGUUAUUAUAAAAAAUGAGAACAUCAGCCCUGCAGAACUGUUUCAGAUGAGAAUCUUGAAACACAUGAAUUAACCAUCAAGAAUUUGGACUUUUUUAUUAUAAAUAUAAGGACUUAUAUAAUUUGUAAUGACAUUGGAAUAAUGAUUUUUCCUGAUGAGGAGGGCAAUUGACUCUCGAUACGUCGACAAAUUUUUAAUAAUGGAAUAAAGGAUCUUCUCAAUAUCAA